rnacentral:rRNA from 1 species
GACGAACGCUGGUGGCGUGCUUAACACAUGCAAGUCGAACGGAAAGGCCUGCUUUCCCUUGUGGAUUGCGGGUACUCGAGUGGCGAACGGGUGAGUAACACGUGAGUGAUCUGCCCCCAACUUGGGUAUAAGCCUGGGAAACUGGGUCUAAUUCCCGAUAGGACUGCAGGGUGGUGCCUGUGGUGGAAAACGACUUUCUAGUGGUUGGGGAUGAGCUCGCGGCCUAUCAGCUUGUUGGUGGGGUAAUGGCCUACCAAGGCGGCGACGGGUAGCCGGCCUGAGAGGGUGGACGGCCACAUUGGGACUGAGAUACGGCCCAGACUCCUACGGGAGGCAGCAGUGGGGAAUAUUGCACAAUGGGCGGAAGCCUGAUGCAGCGACGCCGCGUGGGGGAUGACGGCCUUCGGGUUGUAAACUCCUUUCGACCGCGAGGAAGCCACCUGGUUGGAAGGGUGGUGACGGUAGUGGUAGAAGAAGCACCGGCUAACUACGUG